UGGGGAAUAUUGGACAAUGGGGGCAACCCUGAUCCAGCCAUGCCGCGUGCGUGAAGAAGGCCUUAGGGUUGUAAAGCGCUUUCAGCGGGGACGAUGAUGACGGUACCCGCAGAAGAAGCCCCGGCUAACUCCGUGCCAGCAGCCGCGGUAAGACGGAGGGUGCUAGCGUUGUUCGGAAUUACUGGGCGUAAAGGGCGCGUAGGCGGCCAGGGAAGUCGGAUGUGAAAGCCCGGGGCUCAACCUCGGAAUUGCAUUCGAAACUUCUUGGCUAGAGAACGGAAGAGGAGAGUGGAAUACCCAGUGUAGAGGUGAAAUUCGUAGAUAUUGGGUGGAACACCGGUGGCGAAAGCGGCUCUCUGGUCCGGUUCUGACGCUGAGGCGCGAAAGCGUGGGGAGCAAACAGGAUUAGAUACC
rnacentral:rRNA from 1 species